rnacentral:other from 1 species
CGGUUAUAAAUCAACAUAUUGAUUUAUAAGUAUGGAAAUCCCCUGAGUGAAACAACGAAUUGCUGUGUGUAGUCUUUGCCCAUCUCCCACGAUGGGCUUUUUUUUA